GUGCUUGCUUCAGCAGCUCAUAUACCAAAACUGGAACAAUACAGAGACGAUUAGCAUGGUGCCUGUACAACAAUGACAGACAUGCAAAUUUGUGAAGUGUUCCAUAUUUUU